rnacentral:lncRNA from 1 species
GCUGUAACCUGCAUCCUCCUUCAAGGUACUGCGGGAAGACUCUAGUAUCGCGAGAUGCCGCUGAGCCAGAUUAGGGGCGUUAACCGGCAACGGGUUCCCAGAACCCUUAGCGAAAUUUUAAUUCCCUAACUGCGCAUGUCGCAGCGCAGGCGCAAUAGACAUUUCUUUACUGCCGCUGGCUCCAGGAGCUAUAAAUACCGAUGCCUUUGCGUUCUGUGGUCUUUUUGGGAGAGACUCUCGUCGUGCUUUAGUGUUUCUAGCAUUUUGUUUGGGAUUCCAAAUACAACUGGAUUUGAGGUGAGUAGAUCUAGGAAUUGCUUUUGGCCUGUCGGUGUUUGCUAAUUUUGUUCCACGAAAUUGAUUUUCACGUCUUUAAUAUUCGUGAUAGAGAAGAUUUUUAUAUUGCAAAAGGACUAAUUUUGACAAAGUGAUUAAACCAAAGUUCGCAAAGUUUUCAUGCGUGAGCUGUGUGUGUAAUGUGUGUAUCUGCUCAGUCCGGGAGAACUCAGGAUUCGGGUCUAUGAUAUUAGAAGUGAAAUUGGGCAUAUGCUUCAGCAUACUUGUGAAAGUAACUAAUAGAUAAAGCAUAAAAUAGUCAGUAGCUAACAAGAACUUGGAGUUUGUGAGAAGCAAUUUAAAAUCCUAUGGACUUUGACAUGGUUCAAGUAUAGGUGUGAAGGGAUGAAGAUAAAGGGAAAUGUAAUGUAAUCUCUAAAAUAGUGGUACAUUAAGUCUGCUACAUACCAACCUUUCUGUGAGAAGUGUUGUAGACUUAUUACAUGGCAUUACAAUAAUAACCAGUUUCAUGGUACUGUAUGGCCCAUUGUGUUAGCUGAGUGCCUAGGCUAACUUUGGUUUCGUAUUCUGAUACUGUUCAGAUAUCCCAACGUGGAUACCCCGGGAGGUCACUCUCCCCGGGCUCUGUCCAGGUGGCGAACGGGAGCGUAGGGCUCUGCUCAGUGACGUACAGUCCCUUUCCACAACGUUGGAGAUGAAGCUGGGCCUUGAGUCUGCGCCUGCAUAUUCCUACAGCUUCUCAGAGUCCUCUGGACAAUGACUGAGGAGACAAACCAUGCAGGAAACAUCUAGUAUACAAAAAUUUUAACGGGGAACUAAGAUUGUAUAAAUGAA